GCUGGCGGCACGCCUAACACAUGCAAGUCGAACGAAGUAGCAAUACUUAGUGGCAGACGGGUGAGUAACAUGUAGGUAUCUGCCCUUUGGCCUGGAAUAACACGAGGAAACUUGUGCUAAUACCGGAUAAGUCUUUACAGAGAAAGCUUUAUGCACCAUUGGAUGAGCCUGCACUUGAUUAGUUUGUUGGUGGGGUAAUGGCCUACCAAGACUGUGAUCAAUAGCUGAUUUGAGAGGAUGAUCAGCCACAUUGGGACUGAGACACGGCCCAAACUCCUACGGGAGGCAGCAGUGGGGAAUCUUGCACAAUGGAGGAAACUCUGAUGCAGCGAUGCCGCGUGAGUGAAGAAGGCCCUUGGGUUGUAAAGCUCUUUCGUCGGGGAAGAAAAUGACUGUACCCGAAUAAGAAGGUCCGGCUAACUUCGUGCCAGCAGCCGCGGUAAUACGAAGGGACCUAGCGUAGUUCGGAAUUACUGGGCUUAAAGAGUUCGUAGGUGGUUGAAAAAGUUGGUGGUGAAAUCCCAGAGCUUAACUCUGGAACUGCCAUCAAAACUUUUCAGCUAGAGUAUGAUAGAGGAAAGCAGAAUUUCUAGUGUAGAGGUGAAAUUCGUAGAUAUUAGAAAGAAUACCAAUUGCGAAGGCAGCUUUCUGGAUCAUUACUGACACUGAGGAACGAAAGCAUGGGUAGCGAAGAGGAUUAGAUACCCUCGUAGUCCAUGCCGUAAACGAUGUGUGUUAGACGUUGGAAAUUUAUUUUCAGUGUCGCAGCGAAAGCGAUAAACACACCGCCUGGGGAGUACGACCGCA
rnacentral:rRNA from 1 species